rnacentral:tRNA from 1 species
GCGGGCGUAGCUCAGUGGUAGAGCAUCGGCUUCCCAAGCCGAGUGCCGUGGGUUCGAUCCCCAUCGCCCGCUCCA